rnacentral:rRNA from 1 species
UACGUAGGGCGCAAGCGUUGUCCGGAAUUAUUGGGCGUAAAGAGCUCGUAGGCGGUUUGUCGCGUCUGCUGUGAAAACCUAAGGCUCAACCUUGGGUUUGCAGUGGGUACGGGCAGACUAGAGUGCGGUAGGGGUGACUGGAAUUCCUGGUGUAGCGGUGGAAUGCGCAGAUAUCAGGAGGAACACCGAUGGCGAAGGCAGGUCACUGGGCCGCAACUGACGCUGGAGGAGCCGAAAGCAUGGGGAGCGAACAGG